rnacentral:rRNA from 1 species
CGAGCGAGAUUUUUUCCUGUAGCAAUACAGGGAAAACGUCUAGCGGCGAACGGGUGCUUAACACGUGGGCAAUCUGCCGAGAAGUGGGGGAUAGCUCGCCGAAAGGCGAAUUAAUACCGCAUGUGAUCAGAGUGGACAUCCAUUCAAAAUCAAAGUCGGGGCAACCUGACGCUUCUUGAGGAGCCCGCGGCCUAUCAGCUAGUUGGUGAGGUAACGGCCCACCAAGGCUUUGACGGGUAGCUGGUCUGAGAGGACGACCAGCCACACUGGGACUGAGACACGGCCCAGACACCUACGGGUGGCAGCAGUCGAGAAUUUUUCUCAAUGGGGGAAACCCUGAAGGAGCGACGCCCCGUGGAGGAUGAAGGUCUUCGGGUUGUAAACUCCUGUCAUUUGGGAACAAUGCGUAAAUAUUAACUGUAUUUGCGUUGAUAGUACCAGAAGAGGAAGAGACGGCUAACUCUGUGCCAGCAGCCGCGGUAAUACAGAGGUCUCAAGCGUUGUUCGGAUUCAUUGGGCGUAAGGGGUGCGUAGGCGGCGCGGUAAGUCGGGUGUGAAAUCUCGGGGCUUAACUCCGAAACUGCAUUCGAUACUACCGUGCUUGAGGACUGGAGAGGAAACUGGAAUUUACGGUGUAGCGG